AUUGAACGCUGGCGGCAGGCCUAACACAUGCAAGUCGAACGGUAACAGGAAGACGCUUGCUUCUUUGCUGACGAGUGGCGGACGGGUGAGUAAUGUCUGGGAAACUGCCUGAUGGAGGGGGAUAACUACUGGAAACGGUAGCUAAUACCGCAUAACGUCGCAAGACCAAAGAGGGGGACCUUCGGGCCUCUUGCCAUCGGAUGUGCCCAGAUGGGAUUAGCUAGUAGGUGGGGUACCGGCUCACCUAGGCGACGAUCCCUAGCUGGUCUGAGAGGAUGACCAGCCACACUGGAACUGAGACACGGUCCAGACUCCUACGGGAGGCAGCAGUGGGGAAUAUUGCACGAUGGGCGCAAGCCUGAUGCAGCCAUGCCGCGUGUAUGAAGAAGGCCUUCGGGUUGUAAAGUACUUUCAGCGGGGAGGAAGGGAGUAAAGUUAAUACCUUUGCUCAUUGACGUUACCCGCAGAAGAAGCACCGGCUAACUCCGUG
rnacentral:rRNA from 1 species